AUCUACGGCCAUGCCACCCUGAACAUGCCCGAUCUAGUCUGAUCUCAGGUCAGGCCUGGUUAGUACUUGGAUGGGAGAUCACUUGGAAUACCAGGUGCUGUAGUCG
rnacentral:rRNA from 1 species